CCUUUGCUGAUCGCCCUCUCGCAUUCGCUCCAUAAUUAGGAUUUCCGAUUUCUUUUUACCACCUCCUCGGAUUCUUACGUUUUGGUUCCGCAAUCAAGGCUUCUGUUUCCAUUCCAUCACUUCUUCAAACCCCAUUCGUUUUGUUGCAGUAUAAAGGGAACCGAUGAAUAGAAUCAGAGAGAUCAGUUCCGGCAGAGCACUCAAUUCUCUCAUAUGCUUCUCGGCCGCUGUCAUCACCAAAAUCGCUGUCACUCCGCCCCUUUGAGAUGUCUCCUUCGUGUCAUAGCCAGGUUAGAUAUGUGUAGCAUUCCCCCUUUCGUUAGAUUAUCUGCAAUUCCGCAUCAGAGAGAUCGGCUCUGACAUCGACUACUUUGUGCUGAAAAACUUUGAAGCUGAGAGAAAGGUCGAAGGACCUGGGCAUGGUCGCAAGAGUUUCAGGUUGUGACACAAUGUUACCCUUCAUGUUCGCCUGCGCUUGCCGUGUUCCGGUUCGCAAUUCAUGGUCACCUGCGUUUUUUAUCCAGAGUUGUAGCUAGAUUUCUGUCUAUUUUAUAUCCAUGUAGAGUCAGAACAGGUUGAAAACGCAACAUAACAGGUAUGUAAUUUACUUGCCCCUCAAUUUCAAUUUAAUUAAGCCAGUCAUAGUAGUCACAAAUUAUGCUCAAAUGAAAUUUCACUUUAUAUAGUUGGUUUUUAUUCCCAUUGUCAUGUAUUCUCUAAUAAAAUCUUUAGGUUCACCUGAGAGUCAGCCAUAAGGAAUGAAUUUUGACAUAUAUGUCCCCUUAGACUAGAGAUUCAGCCCAGUAAACUGAAGGAGCUCAAAAUCAAAUUCUAUUAAUGCCAUGGUUCAAUGUCUAACAUCAAAUAAGAAUCAUUACUAUAGAGAAGUGCUCGAAGUUUUCUACCAUUCUACGGGAUACUACUCAUUUCUUUUCUUUCUAUAUAGUUCAUCAACAAGACUGAGAUAGCAUAUCAACUUGCCUUUACAUAUGAUGUAUAUAUAAAUUGUCUUACCAUUCUAAUAUUUUGUUGCUAGCUCUUCCAGCACAAAUUGUCUUUGUUUUUAUAGUAUAUGUCUCUCAACUUUUUUGAAAUUGCAGGGUGUAAAAUAAAACUAUGUUUCAAAUUAAACAUAAAUCUUCCACAUACUCCUGAUGUGGCAACAACCUCUUCAAUUUUCAUAAUAGUACAUCUGAAUCAGUCACCAAGAAGCAUAUCCCUUAAGCAAUGUUUCCAAUCCUCUAUAGUUUUUACAUCUGAAACUGUGCAUCGGGUGCAACACUUGAUUCAUGUGCAAUACCAUACAAUUACUCCUGAUGAUUCAUUACUCUGGAGCAUGGGGAUUAUAGAACUCACAGCAACUAUGUUUGAGAUUAUACUGUCAUUGUUAUUGUUUUUCUCAUCUAAGAUAUUCUUUCUUUUGGUCAACAUAAUCCAUCUUAGAUAUUUUCCCAAGCAUCCUCACAUUGUACUGCAAGGGUCUGUUGUCAACUGGACAAGCUGUUGCAUGCUUUGUGGUUGGGGUGAUUUGAAACUUUUGUAUCUUGGUUUAAGACUUUGGUCUAUUAAUCCAUGUAUUUUCACUCAAAAAAGGAGAAAAAACAAACAAACAAAUUGAACAAGAAUAAGAUGAAGCAUAAAAGGGCCUAAUCUUUUAUGAAAAAGCAUAGCUAUGAAUAGUGAUUUUUUUUUAAGCUUAUAUCUGUGUUUUUUUUAUCCUGUGAAUUCAAACUUUUAUAUAUUUGUAACAUGUUCAAUUGCCAUUUCUGUUCAAAGUUUCCUAAAUCAACCCUAUAAACUACAUUGAUACGAUCAUGUUUGUUGGUUUAGUUGAAUGAAAGGGAUAGGAAUAAGGCAGAGGAAAGGGAGCAAGAGAACCAUAAAGAUACAGAAAAGGAGAGGAAAAGCUAUAGAGAUAGGGAAAAGGACAAGGGGAAAGAUAAAAUUAGAGAGGAGGGGCAGAUAUAUCGAGAUAAAGAGGCAAUUGCAUAUAAUUUACCAUGGGCAGUUACCCUAUCUUCUUGAAUAAGUUAAGGUGGUGCAGGAUGUGAUGGUGGAACCAUCUCCGGAACAGGUUUAUUUUCUGCACUACGAAAUACUCCUAGAGCAUAUUUUACACAUGGACAGCUAACAACUGAUUAACCACCUUAUCCUACUUGAUUUUUCCUUUACUCUAUCCCUACAUGUGCUUUUUCCUUCAACGCUAUCAAGGUUAGAUUUAAUUUAGCUUUAUUUAUAACAAGAGGAUGAUUAACUUGAUCUAUUCCACCAACUUUUUGUUCUGAUCAGCUACUCGAGGAGGUUCCACUGUUACUGGCACAAAUCCUGAUCCACAUAGAUUAGGCAUGGAAGGUAAUCAAGAGUCAAGCGAACCUUAAGUCAUGUAUGAUACUGGACAGAGAGGAACAUUGUGGACCAAGAAGAAGAGGUGGAAUGCAGAGACCAGUACGCCGAUCAAUCGAAGAACAUCAGAGGCUUUGAGGGAAUCCAAGGUGAAGUCAAGUAGAGUCCUUCAGUUUAUUUUAAGCAAUGGAGAUUAUGCGGAUUUAAAACAGAGGCUAAAGGAAACUCAGUUGAGAAAGUCAAUUUGAAUCUGCUACAGACAAGCAACGAUGGCAACAGUGACUAUUGUCAUAAAAGAAAAGCAAAGAGUGUUCAUACUCCCCUUAUAUUUCUCUGAGCCUGACUAGCAAUUGUCCUUAUACUGGCCUAAGGGUGCCUCCUAAGUCCUAACAUCCUUUUUACUCUGCAUUAAUUCUACAUUUGGUUGUCUGAGGAGAACUUAUGAAUGAAAUGGUGCUUUAAGUUGUCUUUUGUUUUGUUUAAAGCUACUAUAUGUUGAUAUUUUUGGUUACUUAUUCAAUGAGUUAUUUUCUCAUAUUGCAUAAA